GAAAGAAUGGAAGCUGAAGUUUCAAGCACACAUGAUUCACCGUAUUCACUACAACCUUUUCGAUUCUACAAUGAAGAUAUACUACUAUUCUAUAUUGAUAUUGGUCUUGAAUCUCAAGUUGAAAUGAAAGUUUCAGGACCAAAAGGUCGACCUAUUACUUGGCUUGAAUCUACCAAUCCUGAUCAUCGUUUUGCUUCCGCUUCUUUGGCUCAAGUUGCUUCAUGGCAUCAAAAGGAGUUCAGUAACGGGGUUGGCUCUGCAAUCGCAUCCCUCCGUGGGUUAGUCUACUCGCUUUCUCCACAAGGAAAUGCAGAUCUUACCCAGCUGUUCAGAAUAGCAGCUCAUGAAGCAAAGAAAUCCCGAGCACAGAAUCGUCUUUUAAGAGUUAUCACUCGAAGGGUAGAGGUUCUCACAGAGGUACUAACAUUUAAGUUGUAGUGUCCUGUGAUGAAGCCACUCACAGUGUGUUAGCAAGCAUACCCAUUUAUUAUUUGGCGAUGUUUCAAAUGCCUAUCUCUGUGGUUAAGGAGAUUGAGAAGAUCGUGAGGAAUUUCUUAUGGGGUUCUUCAAAUUAUGUAGAUGUUGGGUGGAAUGGUCAAAGGCAGUAUUACCAAAGUGCAGAGGGGGUAUUGGUAUUAAGUAGCUUAAACUGGUGAAUCAUGCUCUCCAUUGCAAAUGGAUAUGGAGAUAUGGAAACGAGAAGAGAGCUUUAUGGAGACAAAUAGUUCACCAAAAAUUUGGAGGAAUCCUAAAAGCAAGGGACCAUGUCAAGAAGCAUACAUCGCGAAUUAUUAAGAAUGGUCGGAGUAUGUUAUUUUGGAAAGACAAGUGUCUAGGUAACCAUAUGAUGCAGAUUUGCUUCCCUGCUCUUUUUAAGCUUUCAAGAAAAAAAGAUGCAACUUUAUUGCAUGUGGCAAAUGGAAAUGGUGCUUGGGAACUGGAUUUUAAAAGAAAUCUGAAUGAGGUGGAGGUGGGGGAAGAAGCUCAAUUACUGCAGCUCAUUGGUGAACCUAUGAGUCACUUUUCUAAUGGAAAUGAUCAAAUGCAAUGGAAAGCAGGUAACUGCUUCUCUGUAGCUAGUUGUUACUCUACUCUAGACAUUGAUGGGUAUUUGUCAUUUCCGCACAAGCAAGUCUGGAACCCUAAGAUUCCCUUGAAAGUUUGUUUCUUAGUUUGAACACUUUGUUAUAAAGGGGCUCCAACCUUGGAUUUUCUAUACAGAGCUGGUAAGGUGAAUAAUCCUACUUGUAUGCUUUCUGUUGUUGAGAUGGAAAUCAAUGACCACUUCUUCAUUCACUGCAAAGAAACUGCUAGUGUAUGGAACCAUUUGGGAGUGGAGAAACAAGAAAGGUAGGAAGAUGGUCAAGAAGAUUUGGGGUAUGCUUCCGUUUGCCAUUUGGUGGACAAUAUGGAGAGAAAGGAAUAACAGGCUAUAUUCCAACAAGAAGAGACAUGUUAAGCAGUUGAUCGUCGUGUCUGUUAAAUGCAUGCUGUUUUAUUGGGCUUUGUCUACCGAACUUUUUGAUGGUUAUCCGCUUUCUUCUCUGAUAUGUAAUUGUAAUGCUGUCAUUGGUAUGAGCUAGCCUUGUUAGCUCACUUUUGUUUCUGUUUCUCACUUCUUUGGUGAGACUCAGUUUUGAUUUAAAUUGGCCUUUGCCGUUCAAAAAAAAAAAAAAAAAAUAGGCCAAAAAAUUGGUUGAAGGCUUAAAGAUCGAAGUUCUGAUAUCUAAGAAUAAGUAGUUUGGUUGAUGACAUAUA